GACGAACGCUGGCGGCGUGCUUAACACAUGCAAGUCGAACGGAAAGGCCCCUUUGGGGGUACUCGCGUGGCGAACGGACGAGUAAGACGUGCGUAACUUGCCUUUGACUUCCUGUUAAAUUCCGGCAACUAGGGCUAAUACCGGCUAGGAAUCCUUGCCGCCUGGAUGGGGUGGGAAAGCUUGGGCGGUUUGGGGUGGAUGUGCGGCUUAUUAGCUUGUUGGUUGGGUAGUGGGUUGCCAAGGCUUUGACGGGUAGGCGGCCCGGGAGGGGGAACGGCCACAUUGGGAAUGGGGAACGGGCCAGACUCCUACGGGAGGCAGGAGGGGGGAAUAAUGCACAAUGGGCGGGAGCCUGAUGCAGCAACGCCGCGUGCGGGAUGAAGGGCUUUGGGUUGUAAACCGGUUUCAGCAGGGGAGAAGCUGGUGGUGACGGUACCGGCAGAAGAAGCACCGGCUAACUACGUG
rnacentral:rRNA from 1 species